GAGGGUGUAAUUCAGGGGUAGAGUACAUGCCUAGCAUGCAUGAGGUCCUGGGUUCAAUCCCUAGUACCUCCA
rnacentral:tRNA from 1 species